GAAUCGCACCGGUUUGUAUCCGCGAACGGCCUGCCGUAAAGACAAUUCCUGCCGUCGCUGUGUAGGUAGGAGCGGUGGUGCUUUCGCUUCUCUUCAUCACUGUGGCUGUGUAGGUUUUUUUUUUCCCUCCCUCUCUCCUCUCUCCCCCCCCACCCAACCUCUUGCCCGUGCUGUGAAGAAGGAGCAGUAUCUUACUGCCAUCUAGCGUGUAAUAUCGCAUUUAACACGGCCGCGUUGCGCGUUUUCCCCAUAACGCGCACCGGGAGGAGUUGUUGAGAGCCAACUUGGAGCAAAGAAACCUUAAAGAGCGACUGCUGUUGUCUGCUCGGAAUUUUCUCAACAAGUAUUCUUGCCGAUAUCACUCGGAGAUAAGUAUAACUGUUUUAUUCCACUGUCAAUCAGAGGUGCUAAAGGAUUCACUUAAUUUGUGGCAAAUUAAAAAAUGCGACCUAUACAUUGAACACUAACACAUUCCCCAAACAUAAUUAAACGUCACCGAAAAUAUGCAGAAUUUGUCUUCCGUGACGUUUAAUUGGAUUGUUUUACUUCCCAUGUGCAGGCAAUGUCUUUAAAAUAAUCCACGAGUGAAAACCCUCCCCCACACCCUGACGAACUCGAUCAAUUAAAAAUAUAUGGGAAAGGUAUAUUACAUUAAAUAAAUACGCAAAUAAAUUGUGUUAAUACUCUAAUGUUUUAUGAUUGUCACAUGCACUUCAACGUACACUAAGUUAAGAAAUUUGUUAAAGGGAAACCAUUUUUCUAUUUUUUUUAGUUCAAUAAAUUAACACUACCCGCUUGUCGUCCGACCAUAUCAAAGCUGACAGGUAUUAAAGGAUGCAUGUUCUGCAAAGUGCCAUGUGGGUUAAACCAGAAUUAAUUAUUUCCCACAAGAUGUAUUACAUGUCGCUCUUAAGGAAAUAAGGAAGCACCAGUACACGAUUGCCAAAAAAGUCAAAUGAAUGGGCCUUUGAACUCGAGGCAGGCGCAGCAGUUUAUACAAUUGUGCUUAGGAAAUGGAGCUCAUGCUACAUCACUCUUACAAAUAAACAGCGCCAGUUGUUGGCUAAUGGGGCUAAAAACGCACUCCAAUUAUAGAAACGUAUGGGUACAAUGCACCAACAGUGGUGAUGCCACUGAUUGCCAAGACUGCUUGAACAUAAUGUUUGUUUGUUUUCUUUAUUUAGUAUUUAUUGUUGUAAUAUUCGUGCUAAGAGUUUCCUAAUGGCCUAGAAUGAACCACACACACACACACAUAUACGUCCAAUAAAUCUGGAUGCAUCUCUGUUACGCUUUUUGUUACUUCCUACUUUUUUUGUUGCAGACGUCAAUCGAAGUUUUGUGAUGCUAAAUCGUACGUUGUUGCAGAUUAAACAUGCUCGCAUAAAAUGCUUAAAACAAGACAGAAGUAUUGGCUGCCGAAGCAUAAAGUAACCCGUAAGGUCUUUGGAAGUCACAAAAGCUUUUUUUUGUGGUCAGAGACAAAGCCAGUAUGAAAGGGGCUCAUAGUCAGCCACCGGUGGCCUUCACUCAGCUUUUAGCAAACAGGCAGAGGCACUGGCUUUGCGGGGAGGGAUAUCAUAUUACCACCAGCUGCAAAUCACAAGGUGGGCAUUUGCCACAAACACACAUGGGUGGUCAACAAAUACAUCCCUGAUGCCGAGGCAGUUUUCUUCUCCCAUUAUCUCACAACAAUGUCGCGUAGGACAAUCUGUAAAUGCGUCCUGGUGUAUUGCUUGAUUGUAGAGGAGACUUUUACAACGCGGUGUGUGUUUUUUUAGAAAACAAGAUACAUCGUAUUCAACCAAAUUCUGUUUCACACCACUCAGGUCUCACACCAACUGCCAAUGGACAGCCUCCAUCAUCAUGAGUGGCAAGGGAAAGAGAUUGCUCCACAUGCUUCCACUCUGGCCAGAUGGUUUGAAGAGGAUGCGAGACCUACCAUUUACUCCACCACAAGCAGUCUGGCAAUAACAGAUGAAGAAACCUGGCCUCGGUCUCAAUAGCCUUGAUCUGGAGAUUGCUUCCGGACUCCCUCCCUGUGUUCACAGGGAGUAGAGAGAGAGGGGGAGGGUGGAGGUGGCGAAGAUACGAGCAGUAGGGGGCUGGGCUGAUGGAUCCCAAUGGCUCAAAGAAUGUCGGGACACAGGCCUGGGUCCAUGCUGCUAAUCCUGGGCCAGAAAAGGGACAAUUCCUGGGCGAGCAAAGCCAGCUUUCCAGUGUUUGCAUACACGAGGCAAAAAGAGGUGAAAAUCACAAGAACCAAUUGACAUGAACGUGAACAGCAGGAUCCGUGGAGCAGCGGGUUUCGGCCAGCCAUCGAACAAAGACGGUCACCGCAUCGCGCACUUUCAGAUGCCCAUCUGCGGCCGUCUGGAACGCUGUUCCUUCCGAUAUUAGGAAGUCACUGGAGCUAUGCACUUUUAAACUGUCUAGAUUGACAACUUUUUUUUCGAACUGCUUUAUUAUGUUUAGUUUGUUGUCUUUCUCCUGCACAUCUGAUUAGCACAGUUGGCUACGUUCAGUGCGGAAGAAGUUCAACAUAUAUACUUACAUUGGUUAGCACUGCUUGUCUUGUUUCCAUUGCCUGUCUCAUAUGUAUCGUCUCACUUGUACUGACUGUCACAUUUACAUUCCCCCCCCCCCCCCCCC